AUGUGGCUGGUCAUUCAUAAGAGAUGUUUGACUGCGGAUAACCUGCAAAGAAGGGGCUGGCCCUCAAAUGAUGUAUGCCAUCUGUGUCUCUUGGUGGCCGAAAACUGUAAGCAUCUGUUCUUAUUGUGCCGAUUCACACAGCAGGUUUGGUCCAGGUUCAGAGACUGGACGCGGGCUCAAUUCUCGAUCCCUGAUGACCACUUGGACAGUUCUGAAUCUUGGUGGAUCAAUACUCGAAAGGAAAUUCCCAAGUCAGCUCGAAGAAAUUUUGACACCAUCACCAUUCUGAUUCACUGGAGAAUUUGGAAGGAAAGAAACGCGAGGAUUUUUGAGCAUGUGGCCAGCAAUGUGGACAGGGUGUUGGACCUGAUAAGAGAAGACAUUGCUGUCUGGAGAUUGGCCGGUUGUGUAGGCGAUGUGUACUGA
rnacentral:rRNA from 1 species